GGCCCCUCCCCGUGCGACCCCACCUGGCAGUGUCUCGGCGUUAUCCCCGCCCCAGGCCCGCGUCUAAAACGUAUUCGGCCCAAAGGCGCGUUCAGUUUUUCCUCCAGGGGCCUGUUUGCUGAAAAAAAUUCACCGAUAGGUCCCUGAGCUUCAACCCUUCGUAUCUCGACAACCGUAACCCCGAUUGAGCCCCCUCCGAGAGAGAACUAUUUCGGCAACUCUUUCUGCGAUCGUUUCACACUUCUUCCCGAAGUAUUUGUCGACCCCAGGCAAGCCAACCUCUUAUCAUGAGCCCCGAACUUGCAUGUUGACUUUGCUUGCACCCCAUGUGUGUGUUUAGUU